rnacentral:rRNA from 1 species
UACGGAGGGUGCAAGCGUUAAUCGGAAUUAUUGGGCGUAAAGGGUGCGUAGGCGGUUUGGUAAGUCUGAUGUGAAAUCUAUGGGCUCAACUCAUAGUCUGCAUCGGAAACUGCCGGGCUUGAGUAUGGGAGAGGUGAGUGGAAUUCCUGGUGUAGCGGUGAAAUGCGUAGAUAUCAGGAGGAACACCUGUGGCGAAAGCGGCUCACUGGACCAUAACUGACGCUGAUGCACGAAAGCUAGGGGAGCAAACAGG